UGAAAAAUAUGGGAAAUAGAGGUUCUGAAGCUAAGGAUGAACAAUUUGCAAAAACAACUGAGUCUUGGGAAAUAGGAACAUUAAAAAAGAAUGAUUCCUACCUUGUGGAUCUCAAAGGAAAAGAAUAUUAAUAAAUUAAAAUUGUAAAUA